ensembl:snRNA U6atac minor spliceosomal RNA
GUGUUGUAUGAAAGGAAAGAAGGUUAGCACUCCCCUUGACAACGACAGAAUAGGCUCUUGGGCCUGACAAUAUGCAUAUGAUUAAGGCAUUGCCACCUACUUUGUGGCAUCUAACCAACAUUCUAG